UACGGAGGGGGCUAGCGUUAUUCGGAAUUAUUGGGCGUAAAGGGCGUGUAGGCGGCUUCGCAAGUCCUCUGUGAAAGCCCUCGGCUCAACCGAGGAAUUGCAGGGGAAACUGCGGAGCUCGAGUCCGGGAGAGGAGAGCGGAAUUCCCAGUGUAGCGGUGAAAUGCGUAGAUAUUGGGAGGAACACCCGUGGCGAAGGCGGCUCUCUGGACCGGUACUGACGCUGAGACGCGAAAGCUAGGGGAGCAAACAGG
rnacentral:misc_RNA from 1 species